rnacentral:rRNA from 1 species
AGAGUUGUAUCCUGGCUCAGGAUGAACGCUGGCGGUAUGCCUAACACAUGCAAGUCGUACGAGAGUUUUUAACUCUAGUGGCGGACGGGUGAGUAACACGUGAGAAUUUGCCUUUAGGAGGGGGAUAACAAUUGGAAACGAAUGCUAAUACCCCAUAUGCUUUCGGGUGAAAUGGAUUUAUAUUUAUCCGCCUAGAGAGAAGCUCGCGGCUGAUUAGCUUGUUGGUAAGGUAAGAGCUUACCAAGGCGACGAUCAGUAUCUGGUUUGAGAGGACGAUCAGACACACUGGAACUGAGACACGGUCCAGACUCCUACGGGAGGCAGCAGUGGGGAAUUUUCCGCAAUGGGCGAAAGCCUGACGGAGCAAUACCGCGUGAGGGAAGACUGCCUAUGGGUUGUAAACCUCUUUUUUCAGGGAGGAAUCAAUGACGUGUACCUGAAGAAUAAGCAUCGGCUAACUCCGUGCCAGCAGCCGCGGUAAGACGGAGGAUGCAAGUGUUAUCCGGAAUCACUGGGCGUAAAGCGUCUGUAGGUGGUUUAAUAAGUCAACUGUUAAAUCUUGAGGCUCAACUUCAAAAUCGCAGUCGAAACUAUUAGACUAGAGUAUAGUAGAGGUAAAGGGAAUUUCCAGUGGAGCGGUGAAAUGCGUAGGUAUUGGAAAGAACACCGAUGGCGAAAGCACUUUACUGGGCUAUUACUAACACUCAGAGACGAAAGCUAGGGUAGCAAAUGGGAUUAGAUACCCCAGUAGUCCUAGCCGUAAACAAUGGAUACUAGAUGUUGA